AUUGAACGCUGGCGGCAGGCUUAACACAUGCAAGUCGAGCGGGGGAAGGUAGCUUGCUACCGGACCUAGCGGCGGACGGGUGAGUAAUGCUUAGGAAUCUGCCUAUUAGUGGGGGACAACAUCUCGAAAGGGAUGCUAAUACCGCAUACGUCCUACGGGAGAAAGCAGGGGAUCUUCGGACCUUGCGCUAAUAGAUGAGCCUAAGUCGGAUUAGCUAGUUGGGGGGGUAAAGGCCUACCAAGGCGACGUUUUGUAGCGGGUCGGGGUGGAUGAUCCGCCAAACUGGAACGGGGACACGACCCAGACUCCUACGGGAGGCAGCAGUGGGAAAUAUGGGACAAUGGGGGAACCCUGAUCCAGCCAUGCCGCGUGUGUGAAGAAGGCCUUAUGGUUGUAAAGCACUUUAAGCGAGGAGGAGGCUACUCUAGUUAAUACCUAGGGAUAGUGGACGUUACUCGCAGAAUAAGCACCGGCUAACUCUGUGCCAGCCGCCGCCGUAA
rnacentral:rRNA from 1 species